rnacentral:rRNA from 1 species
GACGAACGCUGGCGGCGCGCCUAACACAUGCAAGUCGAACGAGCAAGAGAGAGCUUGCUUUCUCGAGCGAGUGGCGAACGGGUGAGUAACGCGUGAGGAACCUGCCUCAAAGAGGGGGACAACAGUUGGAAACGACUGCUAAUACCGCAUAAGCCCACGGGUCGGCAUCGACCAGAGGGAAAAGGAGCAAUCCGCUUUGAGAUGGCCUCGCGUCCGAUUAGCUAGUUGGUGAGGUAAUGGCCCACCAAGGCGACGAUCGGUAGCCGGACUGAGAGGUUGAACGGCCACAUUGGGACUGAGACACGGCCCAGACUCCUACGGGAGGCAGCAGUGGGGAAUAUUGCACAAUGGGGGAAACCCUGAUGCAGCGACGCCGCGUGGAGGAAGAAGGUCUUCGGAUUGUAAACUCCUGUUGUUGGGGAAGAUAAUGACGGUACCCAACAAGGAAGUGACGGCUAACUACGUGCCAGCAGCCGCGGUAAAACGUAGGUCACAAGCGUUGUCCGGAAUUACUGGGUGUAAAGGGAGCGCAGGCGGGAAGACAAGUUGGAAGUGAAAUCUAUGGGCUCAACCCAUAAACUGCUUUCAAAACUGUUUUUCUUGAGUAGUGCAGAGGUAGGCGGAAUUCCCGGUGUAGCGGUGGAAUGCGUAGAUAUCGGGAGGAACACCAGUGGCGAAGGCGGCCUACUGGGCACCAACUGACGCUGAGGCUCGAAAGUGUGGGUAGCAAACAGGAUUAGAUACCCUGGUAGUCCACACCGUAAACGAUGAUUACUAGGUGUUGGAGGAUUGACCCCUUCAGUGCCGCAGUUAACACAAUAAGUAAUCCACCUGGGGAGUACGACCGCAAGGUUGAAACUCAAAGGAAUUGACGGGGGCCCGCACAAGCAGUGGAGUAUGUGGUUUAAUUCGACGCAACGCGAAGAACCUUACCAAGUCUUGACAUCCCUUGACAGACAUAGAAAUAUGUAAUCUCUUCGGAGCAAGGAGACAGGUGGUGCAUGGUUGUCGUCAGCUCGUGUCGUGAGAUGUUGGGUUAAGUCCCGCAACGAGCGCAACCCUUAUGGUCAGUUACUACGCAAGAGGACUCUGGCCAGACUGCCGUUGACAAAACGGAGGAAGGUGGGGAUGACGUCAAAUCAUCAUGCCCUUUAUGACUUGGGCUACACACGUACUACAAUGGCGUUAAACAAAGAGAAGCAAGACCGCGAGGUGGGGCAAAACUCAGAAACAACGUCCCAGUUCGGACUGCAGGCUGCAACUCGCCUGCACGAAGUCGGAAUUGCUAGUAAUCGUGGAUCAGCAUGUCACGGUGAAUACGUUCCCGGGCCUU